rnacentral:rRNA from 1 species
UGCAAAAUGACUCUCGGCAACGGAUAUCUAGGCUCUUGCAUCGAUGAAGAACGUAGCGAAAUGCGAUACUUGGUGUGAAUUGCAGAAUCCCGUGAACCAUCGAGUCUUUGAACGCAAGUUGCGCCUGAAGCCAUUAGGUUGAGGGCACGUCUGCCUGGGUGUCACA